GGAAGGAUGGGGCCAAGCUGGAAAGCCUGUGGGCUCCACAGUCAUGUGCCUGGGUUCAAUUCCCAGUUCUGCAU
rnacentral:tRNA from 1 species